rnacentral:lncRNA from 10 species
GUACUCUCAGCAUUAAAAACGGUGCCAGGCACAGAGCAAAUGCUUGAUCAGUGUUGGUUGAAUUAAAGAACAUCGGAAGAGGACUAACAGCUUAGGUACCAAAGUCCCAGCACUCAAGCAGAAUUUUUGUUCGGAUUUUCAUGUUUUUCCUUUGUCUAUUUUUACUUUUAUUUUUAUUUAUUUAUUUUUUUGAGAUGGAGUCUCACUUUGUCACCCAGGCUGGAGUGCAGUGGCAUGAUCUCGGCUCACUGAAACCUCCACCUCCCGGGUUGAAGUGAUUCUCCUGCCUCAGCCUCCCUAGUAGCUGGUAUUACAGGU